UUCUGUGCUUAUAAUGAAUAAAUAUUAUAUUUAUUAUUAUAUUUCUAUUUCUAAUCUUUAUUUUUUUCUUUUUUUCUUCCUGCAAAUUUCUCUUGAGGAAAAUUGAACUGAAUUAUAAAUAACAAGAAAAAUUACGAAGACAUUUCAAAUUUCUUGAGCAUUUCCUUAAAAACAACCGUGGUAUAUCUUAAUUGGAAAUUUUUCUAAAACAAGAAGAAGCAAGAAAAAGAAAAAGUAGUAUAAAAAGAAAUGAAUAUUUUUGAUAUUCCUAUAUCCAUUCCUAUAUCCUAUAUCCACUGGAUAUAGGAAAUUGGUUAAAGUCAGAAUGACGCGUGCUGUGCGUAGUCAUACGCAUGCCAUAGAUAAAUUAGUGUCACUUAACAGAAGUGCGCGUAAACUCGAGAUUCGUGUGAAAACCCAUCCUUGAGUCAAAUAAUUCAAUAAUAAAUGAAAAACACAAAAAUAAAGAAAAAAUGAAAAAAAGAAAAUCAAUCAAUUGAACGAGUCAAUCAUAGAAAGAGAUAGAAGAUAGAUAUAGAAAUAAAUUUUGUAGGGGAAAGGAGAGGAGAGAGAAGUAAAUCUGCACUCAAUUUAGAUAACGUCUCGUCAUUACAUAUUUGCAAACUCUGUUUUUCAAUGCGGAUAAAUAUGCUCGAAGGUAUUUUAGAUCUCUAAAGCUUAAAGAAAACAGUGAUAUAGUUUACCUGCACUUUAGUUGGGCAUUCUCUCCACGUCGAAUAGAGCCGAGUUCCAAACUGGAGUUGGAGGCGUCUGAAUCGCUGUGCACUGGGCUCGGUG